rnacentral:sRNA from 1 species
GCUUGGUGUGGUGGUGCACACCUGUAAUCCCAGUACCUCAGGAGGCUGAGGUAGGAGGAUCACGAGUUCAAAGCCAGCUUCAGCAAAAGUGAAGUGCUAGGCAACUCAGUGAGACCCUUUUUCUA